AAUUGUUGUUCAUUCAAAAGAUUACCACAUUUUUUCUUAUCUUACAUUCUGGGAAUGUUGAGAA
rnacentral:ribozyme from 1 species